rnacentral:piRNA from 1 species
AGAGAAUGUCCGUAAGGUCACUCAAAGC